rnacentral:rRNA from 1 species
UACGUAGGGGGCAAGCGUUGUCCGGAUUUAUUGGGUUUAAAGGGUGCGUAGGCGGAAUGAUAAGUCAGUGGUGAAAGCCUGCAGCUUAACUGUAGAAUUGCCGUUGAUACUGUUGUUCUUGAGUAUAUUUGAUGUGGGCGGAAUGUGUCAUGUAGCGGUGAAAUGCUUAGAUAUGACACAGAACACCGAUUGCGAAGGCAGCUCACAAAACUAUAACUGACGCUGAGGCACGAAAGCGUGGGGAUCAAACAGG